UGAGGAAUAUUGGUCAAUGGACGGAAGUCUGAACCAGCCAAGUAGCGUGCAGGAUGACGGCCCUCCGGGUUGUAAACUGCUUUUAGUUGGGAAUAAAAAAAGGGACGUGUCCCUUAUUGUAUGUACCUUCAGAAAAAGGACCGGCUAAUUCCGUGCCAGCAGCCGCGGUAAUACGGAAGGUCCAGGCGUUAUCCGGAUUUAUUGGGUUUAAAGGGAGCGUAGGCGGAUUGUUAAGUCAGCGGUUAAAGGGUGUGGCUCAACCAUACAUUGCCGUUGAAACUGGCGAUCUUGAGUGCAGACAGGGAUGCCGGAAUUCGUGGUGUAGCGGUGAAAUGCUUAGAUAUCACGAAGAACUCCGAUCGCGAAGGCAGGUGUCUGGGCUGCAACUGACGCUGAGGCUCGAAAGUGUGGGUAUCAAACAGGAUUAGAUACCCUGGUAGUCCACACAGUAAACGAUGUAUACUCGCGGUUUGCGAUAGAGUGUAAGCCGCCAAGCGAAAGCAUUAAGUAUACCACCUGGGGAGUACGCCGGCAACGGUG
rnacentral:rRNA from 1 species